CUUCCGAUCUCCUACGGGGGGCAGCAGUGAGGAAUAUUGGUCAAUGGACGCAAGUCUGAACCAGCCAAGUAGCGUGCAGGAUGACGGCCCUCCGGGUUGUAAACUGCUUUUAGUUGGGAAUAAAAGGGGGCUCGUGAGCCCCGUAUUGUAUGUACCAUCAGAAAAAGGACCGGCUAAUUCCGUGCCAGCAGCCGCGGUAAUACGGAAGGUCCGGGCGUUAUCCGGAUUUAUUGGGUUUAGAGGGAGCGUAGGCCGGCUUUUAAGUCAGCUGUGAAAGUCCGCGGCUCAACCGUGGAAUUGCAGUU
rnacentral:rRNA from 1 species